UUGGAAUUGUAGAUUUGGAAGGCACUGCAAAAUGACGAACGCACUAUAUAGUGAUAAGGGUGGUAAUAUGGACGCAACCUGGGUUUCAAAAGCAUUUAUUUUUUUCAGUUUCCAGCAACGUUCUCUCUGCUUUUCCUCCUGCCUGCAGUGUCCUGUCCAACGGUUAUUGAGCUUCUGGACCUGUGGCCUGCCCUGAAAAUGGAGUCGGGGGGUGUAUGCAGAGUUUCAGCGGAUUACAAGUCGGAACCUGCCCAACGCUUUUUAUGCUAAACUUGACCAUCAUCUUCCUCGACUUAUGACUAUAUUCAGACAAAAGGCAUCAAAAACUGGAGGGACUGCAGGUGCUCUGGCAGAAAUAUUAAAAAAUUAUGAUCAGCAGGACAUUCACACCAAGCGCACUACUGUUCUUCACGCCCUGCUGGUUUAUCUGCAUGAGGAUGUCUCUGAAGUUUUUAAAACUUGCACAAAAAUUAAUUCAGAAUGAGUCUGAUGAGCCAGAGCUUGAUGGUGUUGCAGUGGAGCUUCUUAUUGUCAUCAAUGACCAUCAGUGCACUAUGAGCCUGUAAAAAUCUCUGUUGUGAUGAAGUGUCAGCUUCCCCAGAUUCGGUGAUGCCUUCAUGGAACUCCCAUAAAUGGCCCCCCAGAAGCAUUUAGAGGCUUUUGUAGCCCUGGAUCAACCACAGUGUGGCAGCUUGGAGUAGUUCUGUAUGAAACUCUCCAUUACUGCAACGAUUUCUCAACAAUACAUUUUCUCAAAGGGGAUCAGAUGAUUGACAAUGAACUGUCAGAAGAGUGCCAAGACUUUUUCCAAGCAUGUUUAAAUACUUCCGAAGAACAGCGCCCCUUCCUCCAAUAUCUCCUCCACCAUCCAUGGCUCAGAUCAAUCUAGGACAAUACGGAUGAGACCUUCAAGAUGCUAAAACAAAGAAAAAGAAAACACACUCACACCCACACACACACAGGGACAGAGAACUCAAAUGUCUGAAAUUUGAGAAAGUUUAGAAAUGUUAGCAAAAAUCAUAAACCUAAAUUGACCUUAGAAUAUAUAUGUAGAGUGUAAAGGAAAAUGAUAAAUACUAAAGUUUAGCUGCAAGUAGGGGCAAAUGAUGGCAAUGUUCUAAGAUGAAAGUUGGCUCAGUUUUUACUCUUAGUACUACGUAGGUAACUGUGCCAAAUUUCAAAUUGGAAUUGGUUUCAAAAGUGGCAUUUUCCAUGAUUACUAGUGUUUACCAACACUUUUGUUAAAGUACCCCAGACUUGCACGAUACCCUGCUUUUUUUUCAGUCUUCCUUUGCUUUGAUGUUUGGAAACACGGCACUAGGCAGCGUUAAAACCAGAAUGUUGUUAAAAGAAACAUAGUAUAGUAGAAUUGAAAAUUCAGAUGGGGUAGCGAUCCAACUAGUUAAAGGAAAACUGGACACAUCUCCUCACUGGCGUUAAAUGCCUUCUGGGUUCUCUGUCUCCACUGAUUGUGCUAAUGCUGACUCUCCCGGAAAGAACUGCCUCGUUUUCCUCGUUCCAGUGACCGGGACCCGUCUGUGUUGCUGGGACCUUCGUCGAUGCCGUGUGGGGAUCUCCUCCAGAGAGAGUUGGCAGGACCUUCUGAGUGUCAAAUUUCGGACUCCUUGGCGUGGUGGUGCAGCUCCUUUGACCCCCCUGCCGUCGUCUUCAUAGAGAGCUUGGGCAGAAGAGGAGCGUGCUCCACCCAAACCGGGUGGAUUUAAUUGGCAGAAAGAAAAACCUAAAAACUAGGAGGGGACGUGCAAACACCAGACGAGGCUUUUUAAUUCAUCUGUAAAAACGUAAAAUUAGAAGCUCAGAAAUCAUUUUAAUUAGAAGCGUAGUUAAGUCUAACAAGGUUGCAUAGUGUUUAGGGAAUCAAAAGAUGUUGUUUAUUGCGGAUCUGACUAUUUUCCGAAAACAAGCAAAUAGAGGGAGAGGGAAAGCAUGCGCCAAAUGUAUAAAGGGAAGAAUGCAUUAGGAAGGGGCUACCAACACAAACUGAAUACAGGGGGGAAAGAAACUUAGGGACAAUCAAUAUUUCUGUAGUUAAAAAGACAGAUGUGGUCCCGUUACACGUGUAUGGGUUUUCCCUGGGCCCUUUGGCCUUCUCCCACAUCUUAAAGACGUGUCUCAAAGUUUAUUUGUUGCAUACCGAAACCUAGCUUUUCUUGAUAAAUUGGGAUUUAAAAUUCUUGAAAAGAAUCGGUAAAAGUAGGACGGUCCAAACCUCAAACGGCUUCCUACAUGAACUUUUGCAAAAGCAAAAAUAAACUUAAGAGCCUGCACAAAACCGUACUAGGUCUUCAAAAGCAAAAACAGUCAAUUAAAAAGCACUGUUUUUUUUUUAA